ensembl:lncRNA
GAAGAGCAAACUAUUUUCAGCAGAUUUGAGAAGUUUUCAGAAUGGUCCAGAUUGAUAAGAGCAUUUGCAAUCUUGAGAAGAAGGGUCAAGGAACACAAGGGUGAUAUACAAAGGAUCAAAGAAAGUACAACUUUGGAAGAAAGAAAACAAACAGAACUGUUUAUCAUCAAAAUUGUUCAAGAGAAAGCUUUCGCAGAAGAGAUAAAGAGUCUAAAAUCAAAGAAAAUAGUCUCCAAGACCACAAAUCAUAAUCUGUACAAACUAAGUCCGUUUCUGGACGAAAAAGGAAUCCUCAGAGUGGGUGGACGUUUGGGUCAAGCUGUACUACACCCGCAUGUAAAACAUCCAGCCAUACUUCCCAAGGACAGUCAUAUUUCAACUUUGCUGAUCAGACAUUUUCACACGAAGGUUCAACAUCAAGGUCGUGGAAUGACUAUGAAUGAGUUGCGUGCAAAUGGUUGGUGGAUUCUUGGGAGCAGCCGUGCAGUUUCAUCAUACAUCUUCAAAUGUGUCAGAUGUCGCAAAUACAGAAGGAAAACGGAGCAUCAAAGUAUGGGAGAUUUGCCAGUAGAACGAACUGAGUCUACCCCGCCUUUCACUUAUGUUGGGAUGGAUUGCUUUGGACCAAUAUAUGUCAAAGAUGGACGAAAGGAGCUCAAGAGAUAUGGACUCAUACUAACCUGUCUAUGUUCACGAGCCAUACAUAUUGAAGUAGUAGACGACCUGAGUACAGACGCAUUUCUAAAUGCUCUGCGAGCAUUUAUUGCAAUAAGAGGAAAUGUGCGUCAACUGAGAUGUGAUAGAGGAACCAAUUUCAUUGGGGCCCAGAGAGAACUCGCAGAUCUCAUGAAAGAAAUGAAUCAGGAGAAGGUAAAAGCGCUUGGAUGUGAAUUUCUCAUGAUUCCCCCUUCGGCAAGCCAUAUGGGUGGAAUAUGGGAAAGACAGAUCAGGACCAUCCGUAGUGUUCUUUCAGCCAUCCUUGACCAGUCAGCAAAGAGACUCGACAGUACAUCCUUGAGAACCUUGUUGUAUGAGGUCAUGGCGAUUGUCAACAGUAGGCCACUUUCCAUCGAGCAUUUAAGUGAUCCAACAGGUCCUGAGCCAUUAACGCCCAAUCACAUUCUCACUAUGAAGUCAACCAUUGUUCAACCUCCUCCAGGAGAGUUUAUGAAAGAAGAUUUGUAUCUUCAAAAAAGAUGGAGAAGAGUACAAUAUUUAGCCAAUGAGUUUUGGAUUCGUUGGAGGAAAGAAUAUUUGCUCAACUUGCAACCAAGACAGAAGUGGAAUGUACACAGAAGGAAUCUGAAGAUAAAUGAUGUAGUGCUUCUACAAGAUGACAUGGCACCACGUAAUGAAUGGAAGCUUGCCAAAGUCACUGAUGUCUAUCCAGGAACUGAUAACAAAGUGAGAAAGGUUCGACUUUUGGUUAGUGAAAGGACAUAUGACAAGCAUAGUAAACUUGUGACUAAGACAGUCUCAUUAGAACGACCUAUUCAUAAGGUUAUUGUUUUGCUAGAAGCAGACUAAGGGUUUGUGUUUAUUUUCAUGUUCAGUUUGUCAGACUGAGUGUAAGUCAUAGAAAUCCCACAGUAAGAGUUGUGAGAUUGGUGGGAGUGUUACUGCCACAUUUGCGUUUC